UGUAUACGUGAGAGAACAGAAAGUCUGGAGUUGUUAAGCAAUUGGCCACUCCACUAAAGUAGACUGGAGUGGAGCCUGAACUCACCAGUAGAGUUUUUCUAAUGGCAAAGCCUGUGCUUUCUGUGACUACGAUACAGAGGCCUGUUGAUGAAGGCCUCUCCUCAUGGUCAUUGCUACAGGAAGGGAUGGUCUUGGGGCUGUUCCCUCCCAUCCUUGUCCAAGCAUAGCUUUUUCUACUCCUGAGAGUCCUCAGACUGGCCUGACCUAUAGUUAGAUGGCAGGACCUCUGAGGCAACUAUUCCUGUACCCUCAGACAUCAGGCUCCAAAGUCUUUCAUAAAAGCAGCUCUUAGUCUUCCUCUAAUUCUUUCCUGUCUCCUUCCUAUAAGCCCCAGGACUUAAAAAGAAACAAACAACCUGGCAAAAAAAAAAAGCUUUCCCUUUGCUGCCUCAGUCUAAAAUUAAUUCUGUAGUGAAAAUAGACAUCUAGCUCAUAAGAUCAGAAAACAGCAAGACCCUGAAAUUCCAUUUCGGACCCAGCUGGGGCGUUUUUCUCUUACAAGUGAAACUCUCUCCACGUGUGUCUUCCACACAGCGAAGUAAUGGCAAACCCAGGGCAACAACCUGAACAUUUAGAUCCCAUGGGACAAGUAAAACCACCAGGAGAAGGGGAAUGAACUCCAAGAAACUAAAUGUGUCAAAGAAAGGUUUUUAGACAAUAAGCAAGACUUCCUUCCUGCCUGAGUGUUGAAGGGCUGCAUUUGGUCGAUCAGGCCACCAAGAAUGGCAGUCAAGUUCGUGCAGGUCCAAGCAAUGAACAUCACAUCAGGACCACUUCCUGGCCACGAUGACAUAAGAUGCUUUCCAUUAUGAGAAUGUCUGGAUUUCAGAGAUGCUACAAUCUGAAAAAGAGUGUGCCUUACCUUUGAGAGGAAAGCCAUCGUUUUUAAUUGAAAAGUAAUAAGUAGUCUAAUCGAUAAUUUGAUUAUUUCCAUUUAUAUAUCUUUAUCAGCUUAUCCUAUUUUCUAUGUGAACAUGUCUAAAUUAAUUUUGUCAAACAUAUUGUAGUAGUAAAACUUUCUGUUUUAUAUUUUUAGAAUAAUCAUUUUUAUAAUAACUGUUUACACAAAAUAAUAAAG
rnacentral:lncRNA from 10 species